GUUUCGUUAGCUCAGCCGGUUCAGAGCGCUUGCUUCACACGCAAGAGGUCCGCGGUUCGAAUCCGCGACGAAACACCA
rnacentral:tRNA from 1 species